AAGACUCUCGGCAACGGAUAUCUCGGCUCUUGCAUCGAUGAAGAACGUAGCGAAAUGCGAUACUUGGUGUGAAUUGCAGAAUCCCGUGAACCAUCGAGUCGUUGAACGCAAGUUGCGCCCGACGCCAUCAGGUCGAGGGCACGCCUGCCUGGGCGUCGCACAU
rnacentral:rRNA from 5 species